rnacentral:lncRNA from 1 species
AAAUCCCCAAAUGCCAGCAAAAAAAUAUAUGCUGUAUUCUACAGCAGGCAGCUAAGCUAUAUAUUCAGCGAUUGUGGCAAUCAAGGGACGCUAACAAAUUAGAGAAACCUUGAAAGUAGAAAGUAGCUGUGCUCUCGGAACUCUAGUUUAUUGUGCAAACAAAUGAUGCAUCAUUCUGGAAUUGUUUGUCCAUCAAUGCAGAGACAGAUUCUUUAAAACCUUAAAAUUCCCAUCUCCAUAAAAUCUAGCAAGUCCAAGUUCAUGAUUUUUAUCAAAUGAUUCCGCAACACAUUCAAAGAAUAAAACAUCCAAAUGAAUUUGCUUCAUGAAUAUUGUCAAGUUUCAUAGUUGGCCAUAUCUUCUAUAUGAUAGCAAGCAGUUCAGACUCAGACUUUAUUAUCAGCUCUUGGUCGCUUACACUCUUGUAUCUUCAUGUUUGACACGCGGCUUCCUUACCGAACUCCAAAUUCUCCACCUUGGACAUUCCAUGCAUGGGCCUUCUUAGCAGACAGCAUCUUUGUCCAAACCACGUAUCUACCCUAAUAGCUCUCUGGCAGAUUUUCCUUUAACCACUCACUGGCAUCAGAUAAUUAUGAGUUAUCCAGCUGAUAACUUGCAAAACAUUUGUUCAAUCUGCCUCUUAGCCAUCACUUGCAGUUCUGGAAUUAGUUUUCAGUACAUACAAAAUCAUACAAUUCAUAAAAUAUAAACGGUAUGUUAAAUCCAUAAAUAUUCAUGAUACAUUAGGUUUGAAGCCUUCUAUAAUGCACUGUCCAUGGUAAUAUGUGUUUAGUAGUUCUUAUGAUGUGGUAUGUGCACUUUCAGUGAUGUUUAUCAGAACAGUACACAAAAAAUACUGUGUUUCUAAAAAACAAAAAGUAUUUGAAAUAUGAACCUAUUUAUGCGUCCCCAU